GGAAAUUCUCAGGUGACGCACCCUGGAAUAAGGCUCCCUCCUCUCUGGUUCCAGGUGCAUCACCCGAGAACCACA
rfam:Myotis davidii contig317901, whole genome shotgun sequence.